rnacentral:rRNA from 1 species
UACGUAGGGUGCAAGCGUUGUCCGGAAUUAUUGGGCGUAAAGAGCUCGUAGGCGGUUUGUCGCGUCUGCUGUGAAAACGCGGGGCUCAACUCCGCGCCUGCAGUGGGUACGGGCAGACUAGAGUGCAGUAGGGGAGACUGGAAUUCCUGGUGUAGCGGUGGAAUGCGCAGAUAUCAGGAGGAACACCGGUGGCGAAGGCGGGUCUCUGGGCUGUAACUGACGCUGGAGGAGCGAAAGCGUGGGGAGCGAACAGG